rnacentral:rRNA from 1 species
GAUGAACGCUGGCGGCGUGCCUAAUACAUGCAAGUCGAGCGAACGGACGAGAAGCUUGCUUCUCUGAUGUUAGCGGCGGACGGGUGAGUAACACGUGGAUAACCUACCUAUAAGACUGGGAUAACUUCGGGAAACCGUAGCUAAUACCGGAUAAUAUUUUGAACCGCAUGGUUCAAAAGUGAAAGACGGUCUUGCUGUCACUUAUAGAUGGAUCCGCGCUGCAUUAGCUAGUUGGUAAGGUAACGGCUUACCAAGGCAACGAUGCAUAGCCGACCUGAGAGGGUGAUCGGACACACUGGAACUGAGACACGGUCCAGACUCCUACGGGAGGCAGCAGUAGGGAAUCUUCCGCAAUGGGCGAAAGCCUGACGGAGCAACGCCGCGUGAGUGAUGAAGGUCUUCGGAUCGUAAAACUCUGUUAUUAGUGAAGAACAUAUGUGUAAGUAACUGUGCACAUCUUGACGGUACCUAAUCAGAAAGCCACGGCUAACUACGUG